UCAUGUUCCUCCCUCUGCCGGCCCGCCCUGCUAGCCCGCACUGUUACCGAGUCUCUAUGCCGCGGAUUAUUCCCCGCCCCCUUUCACGUAGGCGGGGAGGGAAGGAGGGCGGCGUUGUCGGUCCCGUCCGGCGAGGAGGUCCGGCCACGGCGGCCAGGCUAGCCGACGGCUUUGGAAUACGCAUCCCUCCUACUUUGCUUUCUGCAUGGUCCCCCGCCGACUCCACGAGCAAGA
rnacentral:lncRNA from 1 species